AUCCAUCUGACGAGUCCCAAAUAGGAUGAAACGAGCAUCGCGGAU
rfam:Schistosoma curassoni strain Dakar, Senegal genome assembly, scaffold: SCTD_scaffold0005536